GACGAACCGUGCGAACGUUGUUCGGAUUUACUGGGCGUAAAGGGCGCGUAGGCGGCGUGUUAAGUCAGCUGUGAAAUCUCCGAGCUUAACUCGGAACGGUCAGCUGAUACUGAUGUGCUAGAGUGCAGAAGGGGCAAUCGGAAUUCUUGGUGUAGCGGUGAAAUGCGUAGAUAUCAAGAGGAACACCUGAGGUGAAGACGGGUUGCUGGGCUGACACUGACGCUGAGGCGCGAAAGCCAGGGGAGCAAACGGG
rnacentral:rRNA from 1 species